ACACGACUACAUUAGAUACCCCUGUAGUCCCAGCUGUAAACUCUGUGCGUUAGGUGUGUCAGUGACCACGUGUCACUGAGGUGCCGAAGGGAAACCGUGAAACGCACCGCCUGGGGAGUACGAUCGCAAGGCUGAAACUUAAAGGAAUUGGCGGGGGAGCACAACAACGGGUGGAGCUUGCGGUUUAAUUGGAUUCAACGCCGGAAAUCUUACCGGGACCGACAGCAACAUGAAGGCCAAGCUGAAGACUUUGCCGGAUUAGCUG
rnacentral:rRNA from 1 species